rnacentral:rRNA from 1 species
UACGGAGGGUGCAAGCGUUAUCCGGAUUCACUGGGUUUAAAGGGUGCGUAGGUGGGCUGGUAAGUCAGUGGUGAAAUCUCCAGGCUUAACUUGGAAACUGCCAUUGAUACUAUCAGUCUUGAAUACCGUGGAGGUCAGCGGAAUAUGUCAUGUAGCGGUGAAAUGCGUAGAUAUCAAGUGGAACACCAGUGGCGAAGGCGAGUCCCUGGACACUUCCUGACACUGAGGCACGAAAGCUAGGGGAGCAAACAGG